GUAAAUUAAAAUAAGACAUGACUUAAAGGUGUUAGUUACCAGGUCAUAAAAUCCCAUAAAAAAUGUAACUUUGGCGGGAACGCAAGUGUGUGAAGUACUGUGAAGGAGUGGACGGUUCGCAGAUGUUUGGAGCGGACCGCGGGCCCAAGGGUUGGCUUUAGGCGCUCUUACGGUGCGCUAGAGUGCUGGUAGCGCAGCUUCUACCCCAUCAGGUCACACCGUGAGAUUCACCAGGGGAGGCCGUCAGCUUACAGGAGCCGGGACGUAGAUAGUCAAGCAAAUGGCCCACCUUAUUUUUAUAUGAGUAUUAUGAUUGAGUGUUUGAAAACAAUAUAACAGUAUUUCAGUGCGUACAUAAAAUGAAAUAUGAAUAUACGUAAAUGUCUCCGUCUCCGUCUAAUGAGGCCGAAAAUCCGGAACUAUUUAAAUAAAAUAGUUUUAUUCCGCAGUGAGUAAAACACUAUUGUAAAUUCGUUAAAUAUUUAUUAAUUAUGUGAUUUUAGAGAGGAAGUCACAAGGAAUGACGUUUGUAAUUUCAUUAACGAAUAAAUGUUCUGUAGGUGUUUUUUUUUAUCAGGCGGUCCCUUGAUAAGUUUAAAAUUUGCGGUGCACCUUCCUUGAGGUGCACUGCGGUAGUCUGUUACGGACUUUAGAGUCAGCAAAACAAUUAAAAUAGAUUGGAAUAGUCUAAGCGUACUCAAAAUACGAUAACAUUCAGCAUGCUAGAAAUGGGCUGAUGGCACUGUACUAUGCCAUAUCUUUAUGUUUUGCGGCAAACGACAACUUUAUAAAAUCAGUGUAGCAAAUUUUAAAAAUCGUCAUAUCGUUUACUUGGAAAAUUUGAAGCACGAACUCGUCUUAGAUUUCACAUAAUAUCUAAAUCACAUCAUCUUUGCACAUAACAAUAUGCUUAAUUCCUAUUAAAGUAUAAAUUCUAUAUAAUAUAUAAGUAAAAAUACAUUCAUACUCAACAAUAUUUAAAAUAAAAUAAGCCAAGAACGUAUGUCGAUAAAACCUAUUAACAUUAAAAUCUUCUGGUCAGCACUAAAACCGCCAUGUUUUGUGGCCAGAUGACGUCACAGUGGCACGAAUUUUUUGUUGACGUUUCAUUUCCAUAGGUUUCCUACUUCAGUGGUUAUUUAUUUCUUUUUGUUAACUACCUCACUUCUGGUCGAUAAUAAUAGUUAUUGAAAACCAUAGAGAGAAUGUAUUCCACCGACCUUGUCCAUUAAACCCACGGACCGAAUAUUGCUGCUCAAAACCUGUACAUAAUAGUAAGAUAAUCUUGAAAAAGUCAUAAGUGCUAUUACUAAAUCCCGCUCUCUAACAGAUAGAUAUACAAACUUUUUACUGUAUGAAGUAAAAGAUAAACGAAAACGUAGACGUAAAUUUUUACGUUUCAUAUUAUGUCACAAUAUCAAAGUUUUUACUCAGAUUUUUAUAUUUUUACGGACACAUCAUUUUGUAAACAUAUUUAUUCUUAAUCAAUCCAAGGGCAUUGUAAUAUCAAAAAUAAAUGCUGAUUUUAGUAAUCUAUAACAAGAAUAUAAAAUAUUGAAAUAGAUAUUUUGAUAUAAAGAAGAGCUAGCAAUAUGUGAUUAUGAGCUAUGAUGUGGUUACAAGCUGUUAUGUUUAUAAUUCAAUUUCUAGCCGCGGUGUGUGCCGUGGCGGUCUGUGGCCCUUGUCUGUUGGCUUGCGCACGAAGACUGAUCAUAGGAGAUGAAGUGUUGCGGGACGGCGGCCCAGUCCUACGUGAAGCUGAAGUACUGGGCUGUGACGAACCGGCGUGUCCGUAUUACAAAAAGAAUAUCAGGUACUUAAUGGUACCCGCCACGAGAAGACGGAACUGCACACAAAACGAUAAUAAAAGGCAGACUAAUUUGGCAACACAGUAGUUUGAUUUAAGUUUUUUUUUAUAAUUAAAUUUAUUAUACAUUUUAAUAAAACUAAAAUUGGCUUUCUCA